GAUUCUUCCUCACCCCUAUUGUAUUUUCCAGACUUCUGCUUUCUUCAAAGGGUUGGCACACAACUGACCUAGCUACAUAAAGGCUUGAGCCUUUGUGGAUUCACACAAGAAAAGUCAUGCGAAAUUCAGCAGAUCAGAAGGAUAAAUGUUUAUCAGAAAGAUGCAUCUGCAGAAUCUGAAUGAACUGACAGAAGGAAAUGCUGACAUUUGAGCCAGGCUUCCCAAGCUCUGUAACCACAAAUGCAAAACCUUGUUUGUGAUGAUGGGCUCAUUGGUAGAGGUGGGCUCAUGGUAGAAGAUACCGCUUGUGUUUAAUCAGUUCUAAGAAUGGAACAGAAUAGAACCCUAAAACCAUUAAGGCUGGAGAAGAUCACUAAUAUCAUCUAGUCCAACCAACAGUCAAUCUGCACCAUGCCCACUGACCACAUCCCUCAGUGCCACAU